rnacentral:lncRNA from 1 species
GGGAGAUACAAAGAAAAAAUACAGAAGAGGAAAGAAGUGGAUGAUGGAUUAUAAAGGAGAGGGAAUUCAUUUACAGAAAAGAGUUUGACUUGUGAUACUGAUUGACCUGCCUCUUUGAGGUACAUUCCAUAGUGGUGGAAAUUUUCACCUACCAAAAUAACAAGGCCAAUUUAAGGUCCUGUAGCUGUCACUGUACUGGACAUGACGAAUGAGAGUCUCAGCCACAACCUUUGCUGGAGUUACAAGGAUGGGACUUAGAACUCCCUGAUCCUGUUUCGGGCUUUGCUGCCUUGCAGUUGUCAAAGUUGAGCAAUGUCCCUAGAGUUUCUGGUCACAAGCAGGCAAAGGCAUUCCUUGGUGCAGUACUGCUGCUGCCUGUGUCAAUGUUGUUGCAAAGGCAGAUUAAUUGGAGGUCUGUGGGAACCAUCUCCAAUCCAGAUAAUUCCACUUUAGCUGGAGCUUUUUGUUUUCUCAUUUUGGAAGGGUGCUCCAAAAAAACCCCCAAAAACAUUAUACUCUUAAAAUCAUUGCAGAGUUCAAAUAGGAAUCAAAACUGGUUUGAAUUAAACUUCUUGUG